rnacentral:rRNA from 1 species
UACGUAGGGGGCAAGCGUUAUCCGGAUUUACUGGGUGUAAAGGGAGCGUAGACGGCGAAGCAAGUCUGAAGUGAAAUCCCGCGGCUCAACCGCGGAACUGCUUUGGAAACUGUUUGGCUUGAGUGCAGGAGAGGUAAGUGGAAUUCCUAGUGUAGCGGUGGAAUGCGUAGAUAUUAGGAGGAACACCAGUGGCGAAGGCGGCUUACUGGACUGUAACUGACGUUGAGGCUCGAAAGCGUGGGGAGCAAAC